rnacentral:rRNA from 1 species
GACGAACGCUGGCGGCGUGCCUAAUACAUGCAAGUUGAGCGCUGAAGGUUGGUACUUGUACCGACUGGAUGAGCAGCGAACGGGUGAGUAACGCGUGGGGAAUCUGCCUUUGAGCGGGGGACAACAUUUGGAAACGAAUGCUAAUACCGCAUAAAAACUUUAAACACAAGUUUUAAGUUUGAAAGAUGCAAUUGCAUCACUCAAAGAUGAUCCCGCGUUGUAUUAGCUAGUUGGUGAGGUAAAGGCUCACCAAGGCGAUGAUACAUAGCCGACCUGAGAGGGUGAUCGGCCACAUUGGGACUGAGACACGGCCCAAACUCCUGCGGGAGGCAGCAGUAGGGAAUCUUCGGCAAUGGACGAAAGUCUGACCGAGCAACGCCGCGUGAGUGAAGAAGGUUUUCGGAUCGUAAAACUCUGUUGGUAGAGAAGAACGUUGGUGAGAGUGGAAAGCUCAUCAAGUGACGGUAACUACCCAGAAAGGGACGGCUAACUACGU